AGGCAAAGUCAUUAAUAAAGAUUUGCGACAUUACCUGAGUCUUCAGUUUCAGAAAGGAUCAAUUGACCACAAAUUGCAGCAAGUGAUCAGAGAUAAUCUCUACUUGAGAACCAUUCCAUGCACUACAAGGGCCCCCAGGGAUGGGGAAGUACCAGGGGUGGACUAUAUCUUCAUUUCUGUUGAACAGUUCAAAGCACUGGAAGUGAGUGGAGCAUUAUUAGAAAGUGGAACGUAUGACGGAAACUUUUAUGGAACUCCCAAACCUCCAGCAGAACCCAGCCCUUUCCAGCCAGAUCCAGUUGAUCAGGUCCUCUUCGAUAAUGAGUUUGACACCGAAUCCCAAAGAAAACGAACUACAUCUGUCAGCAAGAUGGAAAGAAUGGACAGCUCUCUUCCUGAAGAGGAAGACGAUGAGGACAAGGAAGCUGUUAAUGGCAGUGGAACUACAGGUUUGUAAACAGAUGAAAAAUUCUAACUGAUCUUCCGGGUUGACUUGAACAUGACACUGAACUGGAAGUAGUAAAACCUUUCCCAGAGCAUGUGUAGAGCAAGUGAUGCAAUUCUAAUUAUUUUUAAGAGAUUGUGUGUGGAAUGAAGUGUAUCUCUGUCAACCGCCUUAUAAGGUGAAGUGAGGUUGCACCAAGUGGCAGUUUUGAUAAGUCUGUAAUAAGCUAUCAUUAGUAAUAACAUAACAUGCCAUGAUCCCUCUGCUUAAAAGAUUUGAGGUUCCAAGAUAUGAGAAUCUUGUUAGCCUAAGUCGUACUUUACAGGAUA